rnacentral:tRNA from 1 species
GUUUCCAUAGUUUAAAUAUAAAAUGUUAAAUUGCAAAUUUGGAGAUAAAUUUAUUUAGAAGUU